GUAUAAUAUAUUAAUAGAGUAUAGAAAAUGCAAAAAGGGGCGAAACUCGUAUAUCUAAAUAAAUUGGAUGGAACGAAAUUAGUAAAUCCAUUUUAAAAACCUGGGACAAAAUUAGUGGGUAUCUUUAAUUUCAAAUUUUACAUUUGGGACGAAACUCAGAUGCAGCCUUAUACUACUUAAAAGGGUUAUAAAUAAUAAUAAUAUGAAAAAAAGUUUAUCGACUGUAUUAGAUAUCUUUAUUGAAAAUUAAAAAAAAAUGCAUAUAUACCUAAUUUGUCAAACCUGGUGCCUAAAAAUGUGCAACAAUAGUUAACGAAUUACACAAAUCUAAAAAAAUUAAUUUCUAUAUCAAGUUAUAG